ACAGAGGUCUCAAGCGUUGUUCGGAUUCAUUGGGCGUAAAGGGUGCGUAGGCGGCGCGGUAAGUCGGGUGUGAAAUCUCGGAGCUUAACUCCGAAACUGCAUUCGAUACUGCCGUGCUUGAGGACUGGAGAGGAGACUGGAAUUUACGGUGUAGCGGUGAAAUGCGUAGAUAUCGUAAGGAAGACCAGUGGCGAAGGCGGGUCUCUGGACAGUUCCUGACGCUGAGGCACGAAGGUCAGGGGAGCAAACGGGA
rnacentral:rRNA from 1 species